rnacentral:rRNA from 1 species
GAUGAACGCUGGCGGCGUGCCUAAUACAUGCCAGUCGAGCGAACAGACGAGGAGCUUGCUCCUCUGACGUUAGCGGCGGACGGGUGAGUAACACGUGGAUAACCUACCUAUAAGACUGGGAUAACUUCGGGAAACCGGAGCUAAUACCGGAUAAUAUAUUGAACCGCAUGGUUCAAUAGUGAAAGACGGUUUUGCUGUCACUUAUAGAUGGAUCCGCGCCGCAUUAGCUAGUUGGUAAGGUAACGGCUUAUCAAGGCAACGAUGCGUAGCCGACCUGAGAGGGUGAUCGGCCACACUGGAACUGAGACACGGUCCAGACUCCUACGGGAGGCAGCAGUAGGGAAUCUUCCGCAAUGGGCGAAAGCCUGACGGAGCAACGCCGCGUGAGUGAUGAAGGUCUUCGGAUCGUAAAACUCUGUUAUUAGGGAAGAACAAAUGUGUAAGUAACUAUGCACGUCUUGACGGUACCUAAUCAGAAAGCCACGGCUAACUACGUG